rnacentral:rRNA from 1 species
CCUACGGGAGGCAGCAGUGAGGAAUAUUGGUCAAUGGGCGCGAGCCUGAACCAGCCAAGUCGCGUGAGGGAAGACGGUCCUAUGGAUUGUCAACCUCUUUUGUCGGGGAGCAAAAGACGCCACGCGUGGCGUUCCGAGAGUACCCGAAGAAAAAGCAUCGGCUAACUCCGUGCCAGCAGCCGCGGUAAUACGGAGGAUGCGAGCGUUAUCCGGAUUUAUUGGGUUUAAAGGGUGCGCAGGCGGCAGAUCAAGUCAGCGGUAAAAUUGAGAGGCUCAACCUCUUCGGGCCGGUGAAACGGGUUGUGGUGAGUGAGAGAGAAGUAGUAGGAAUGGGGGGGGUAGAGGGGAAUGGCAGAGAU